rnacentral:rRNA from 1 species
GACUAUCGCUGCGCGGCCGGGUCCUGUGCCCGUCGCACUUCUCGCUGGAGCGCGUCAACAGCUGCUGAGCGUGGCCCACACGGUUCAGUGGAAGGUGAGCGACCAGCUCGCUGGUCGUUGUUAUAGCCGCUGGCACCCAGGUUGCGUUUGGCAGAGGGGAGCGGUGCAUGCUCUCCCUUUUUGCGGAGGGCUGGCGUCCUGUUCCGUUCAYGUAGCUGGCUUGGAUGCACUGCGUGCAGUACGUUCUCGCCGGUGAAAUGGCGUGCAGUCAACGCACACGAUGCACCAUGGUUGUUGGCGGCCAUAUGGCUUUAUCCGACCCGUCUUGAAACACGGACCAAGGAGUCUAACAUGUGCGCAAGUCCUGGGGUGACCGAAACCCAGAGGCGCAAUGAAAGUGAAGGCCACUCCGAGUGGCCGAGGUGAGAUCCUUGCUCUACGCGGGUGAGGCGCAUCAUCGACCGACCUAUUCUACUCUUAGGAAGGUUUGAGUAAGAGCGUACAUGCUG